rnacentral:misc_RNA from 1 species
AAGUCGUAACAAGGUUUCCGUAGGUGAACCUGCGGAAGGAUCAUUAGUGAAUUUGUUUUGUGGUUGGGUAUCUUGCUAAAUCUUUACAAGAUAUCCCCCAAACACCCCCACUAUUAUCACGCCGGCUGAUAGAGGAGUAAAAUCCUUGUUUCAGUCGAGAGCCUAGUAAGCUCGGAAAUUGAUGUUGAGAGAAAUCUCAGCUAUUUUUUAGAACCAUAUAGUCAUGUAUGUUAAGUAGUAUUCUUAAAACAAAUACAACUUUCAGCAACGGAUCUCUUGGCUCUC